AAAAAAAAAAAAAAAAAAAAAAAAAAAAAAAAAAAAAAAAAAAAAAGCGAGAAAAAAAAAAAAAAAAAAAAAAAAAAAAAAAAAAAAAAAAAGAAGAAGAAGAA